CCUACGGGAGGCAGCAGUGGGGAAUUUUACGCAAUGGGGGAAACCCUGACGUAGCGACACCGCGUGAGCGAAGAAGCCCUCUGGGGUGUAAAGCUCUGUCAGCAGGGACGAAAAAAAUGACGGUACCUGCAGAGGAAGCAUCGGCUAACUACGUGCCAGCAGCCGCGGUAAGACGUAGGAUGCAAGCGUUGUCCGGAUUCAUUGGGCGUAAAGAGUUCGUAGGCGGUUUGUUAAGUCUGAUGUUAAAGAUCAGGGCCCAACCCUGAGAGUGCAUUGGAUACUGGCAGACUGGAGUGCAGUAGAGGCAAGUGGAAUUCCCAGUGUAGCGGUGAAAUGCGUAGGUAUUGGGAAGAACACCGGUGGCGCAGGCGACUUGCUGGGCUGUAACUGACGCUGAGGAACGAAAGCUAGGGGAGCAAAUGGGAUUAGAUACCCCAGUAGUCCUAGCUGUAAACGAUGGAUACUAGGCGUUGCAGGUAUCGACCCCUGCAGUGCCGCAGUUAACGCGAUAAGUAUCCCGCCUGAGUAGUACGGCCGCAAGGUUGAAACUCAAAGGAAUUGACGGAAGG
rnacentral:rRNA from 1 species